AUGAGAAGAAAGAAGAAAGAAGGAAGGAAGGAAGGAAGGAAGGAAGGAAGGAAAGAAGGAAGGAAGGAGAGGAAAAAGGAAAGAAAAAAAUCUGAAAAGCUACAUAGUAUAGAGCCAAGCCACCUGACUCAGAAUUACCUGGAGAGCUUAUUGAAAGGAAGCUCUGUACAAGGCCUGAUGCUUGGGGCAAAAGGCUCUGUCGCCAGCAGGAGCAAACCCCGUGGAAGACGUCCUGUGCACUCCAAAAUUCACAAAACUUUGCCAGAGACUAAUCACCGAAUCACUGGGAUUUUUCAGAAACCUGGAUUCGUCAUCAAACUGCCAGUCCUAACAGUUGCGGUGAGGAUAACACACAGUAGUGUCUUUGAGCUUUUGCUUUGAAGAGUCCAAAUACCGGGGAGGUAGAAGGUAUUGUUAUCAGUUUCCACUCCCGUGGAGGCGGAGCCUUGGCAUUUUAGGGACGACCAGAGACAGAAGGAGAUACCUCCAGAAUGAAUUAUCUUUAGGUAGUCCCAGAUAGGAAAGAUAGUAUGGGUCAGGGAUUCCUCUCGAUACAAAGCACAGAGGAACCAUGCAGGAAGCUGGGGCCAGGCCUAUCUCAUAGGCGAUGGUGUGCAUGGACAUAUAUCAAACUUCCUAGAAUGUAGAGAAUUCUUCUGAUGCAUCACAAAGAAAGUCUGCUUUUGACAAAGGGCCCUCUUCAGUCCCUAAGUACCUCAGAAUGAUAACAAGCUUUGCUAAAUAUUCCUGAGAAAACUUGAAAAAUGAUUUGCCCUAUCCCUUUCCUGCCUCCAACCAAUUUCUGGCUAUAGGAUAUAGAGCUAGAACAAGAGAGUAAGAUGUCUCCUUCUGGGUAAACAUGAAUUUUAGCACCCAUGGAGCACCCUCUGGAGUGGAAUGUUCUAGACCGACACUGUUCCCUAGGUAACCGCUGGCCAUGUGUGACUACUGAGCACUUGAAGUAUGGCUUGUAUGAAAUGAGAUGUGGUGUAAGUGUAAAAUGCAGAUUUUGAAGACAGUGUAAAAAAAGAAUGUAAAUCACUUAAGAUAUUUGGGAUAUAUUUGGUUAAAUAAAAUAUAUUAUUACAAUUGAUUUCA
rnacentral:lncRNA from 1 species